AGAGUUUGAUCCUGGCUCAGAGCGAACGCUGGCGGCGUGCUUAACACAUGCAAGUCGAACGCGCAGCAUUCUGUAGCAAUACAGGGUGUGGGCGCGUGGCGAACGGGUGCGUAACACGUGGAUAACCUUCCUUCAGGUGGGGAAUAACCCAGUGAAAAUUGGGCUAAUACCGCAUAACAAGACGAUGGCACAUGCUGCUGUCUUCAAAGCCGCAAGGCGCCAGAAGAGGGAUCCGCGGCCGAUUAGCUUGUUGGCGAGGUAAUGGCUCACCAAGGCAUUGAUCGGUAGCCGGACUGAGAGGUUGGCCGGCCACACUGGAACUGAGACACGGUCCAGACUCCUACGGGAGGCAGCAGUGGGGAAUCUUGCACAAUGGACGAAAGUCUGAUGCAGCAACGCCGCGUGGGGGAUGAAGCUUCUCGGAGUGUAAACCCCUUUUGGGCCGGGAAGAUAACCCCUUCGGUUUUGACGGUACGGGUAUAAGAAAGCCCCCGGCUAACUACGUGCCAGCAGCCGCGGGUAAUACGUAGGGGGCCAGCGUUGCUCGGAAUUACUGGGCGUAAAGGGUCCGUAGGCGGUGUGGCAAGUCGGGAGUGAAAUCUCUGGGCUUAACCCAGAGGCUGCUUCCGAAACUGCCGUGCUAGAGUGUGAGAGAGGCGAGUGGAAUUACGGGUGUAGCGGUGAAAUGCGUAGAUAUCCGUAGGAACAUCCGAGGCGAAAGCGGCUCGCUGGAUCACAACUGACGCUGAGGGACGAAAGCUAGGGGAGCAAACAGGAUUAGAUACCCUGGUAGUCCUAGCCCUAAACCAUCAGGACUUGGGGUUUGCCCUGUACGGGGCAAGUCCCGUAGCUAACGCGUUAAGUCCUGCGCCUGGGGAGUACGGUCGCAAGACUGAAACUCAAAGGAAUUGACGGGGGCCCGCCCAAGCGGUGGAACAUGUGGUUCAAUUCGACGCAACGCGAAGAACCUUACCUGGGCUUGAACCGCACAGGACCAUCUUUGGAAACAGAGACUUCCCGCAAGGGACCUGUGUAGAGGUGCUGCAUGGCUGUCGUCAGCUCGUGCCGUGAGGUGUUGGGUUAAGUCCCGCAACGAGCGCAACCCUUACUCGUAGUUGCCACCCGCAAGGGGGAACUCUACGAGGACUGCUCCGGAUAACGGAGAGGAAGGUGGGGAUGAGGUCAAGUCAGCAUGGCCUUUAUGUCCAGGGCUACACACGUGUUACAAUGCGCGCUACAAAGCGUUGCAAACCCGCGAGGGGGAGCUAAUCGCAAAAAAGCGCGCUCAGUUCGGAUUGCAGUCUGCAACUCGACUGCAUGAAGCCGGAAUCGCUAGUAAUGGCGCAUCAGAACGGCGCCGUGAAUACGUUCCCGGGCCUUGUACACACCGCCCGUCACAUCACGAAAGUGGGCUGUACUAGAAAUCGCCGUGCCAACCGCAAGGAGGCAGGCGCUCAAGGUAUGACUCAUGAUUGGGGUGAAGUCGUAACAAGGUAGCCGUA
rnacentral:rRNA from 1 species